rnacentral:rRNA from 1 species
UUUUUUUUGAUUAUAAUUUAAAGUAGGGCCUGCCCACUGAAUUUUGAAGGGCCGCAGUAUUUUGACUGUGCAAAGGUAGCAUAAUCAUUAGUUUUUUAAUUGAAAGCUUGUAUGAAUGGUUUGAUGAGAAAAUUUCUGUCUCAAUUUUAAUUUUUUAAAAUUUUAUUUUUAAGUAAAAAAGCUUAGAUUAAUUUAAAAGACGAGAAGACCCUAUAGAGUUUUAUUAAAAAUAUUUUUAUAAAUUUUAGAAUUCAUUUUUUUUUUAAUAUUAUUUUUAAUUGGGUUGGGGUGACUAAAAAAUUAAUUAAACUUUUUUUUUAUUUUUACAUUGAUUUAUGAUUAAUUGAUCCAUAUAAAUGAUUAAAAGAUUAAAUUACCUUAGGGAUAACAGCGUAAUUUUUUUUUAGAGUUCUUAUUGAAAGAAAAGAUUGCGACCUCGAUGUUGGAUUAAAAUUUAUUUUUGGUGUAGGAGCUAAAAAAUUAGGUCUGUUCAACCUUUAAAAUUUUACA